rnacentral:rRNA from 1 species
UGGGGAAUUUUGGACAAUGGGCGAAAGCCUGAUCCAGCAAUGCCGCGUGUGUGAAGAAGGCCUUCGGGUUGUAAAGCACUUUUGUCCGGAAAGAAAUCCUCUGGGUUAAUACCUCGGGGGGAUGACGGUACCGGAAGAAUAAGCACCGGCUAACUACGUGCCAGCAGCCGCGGUAAUACGUAGGGUGCAAGCGUUAAUCGGAAUUACUGGGCGUAAAGCGUGCGCAGGCGGUUUUGUAAGACGGAUGUGAAAUCCCCGGGCUUAACCUGGGAACUGCAUUCGUGACUGCAAGGCUAGAGUAUGGCAGAGGGGGGUAGAAUUCCACGUGUAGCAGUGAAAUGCGUAGAGAUGUGGAGGAAUACCGAUGGCGAAGGCAGCCCCCUGGGCCAAUACUGACGCUCAUGCACGAAAGCGUGGGGAGCAAAACAGGAUUAGAUACCCUGGGUAGUCCACGCCCUAAAACGAUGUCAACUAGUUGUUGGGGAUUCAUUUCCUUAGUAACGUAGCUAACGCGUGAAGUUGACCGCCUGGGGGAGUACGGUCGCAAGAUUAAAACUCAAAUGAA